rnacentral:sRNA from 1 species
CGUCGUCGAUCUGCUGGGGACAGAUGAAAUGGAUAUGGGCAUCCAUGCCGCCCGCGGUCAGGAUGCGCCCCUCGCCCGCGAUCACCUCGGUGCCCGGCCCGAUGAUGAUGUCGACGCCGGCCUGGGUGUCGGGGUUGCCGGCCUUGCCGAUGGCGGCGAUGCGCCCGUCGCGCAGGCCCACAUCGGCCUUCACGAUCCCCCAAUGGUCCAGGAUCACCGCAUUGGUGAUGACGGUAUCCAUGGCGCCCUCGGCGCGGGUGCGCUGGCUCUGGCCCAUGCCGUCGCGGAUG